UUGCGAAGGCAGCUUACUACGCAUAUAUUGACGCUGAGGCACGAAAGCGUGGGGAUCAAACAGGAUUAGAUACCCUGGUAGUCCACGCCCUAAACGAUGGAUACUCGACAUACGCGAUACACUGUGUGUGUCUGAGCGAAANGUAAGUAUCCCACCUGGGAAGUACGUUCGCAAGAAUGAAACUCAAAGGAUUGGCGGGGUCGACAA
rnacentral:rRNA from 1 species